rnacentral:ncRNA from 1 species
UAAGUAUUUCUUAAGAAGCCUAGUAGUUUCCUGUCACUGUUAUUUAGAGAGUUAGUAUUUGCUGAAAGCUAACACAAACACGGCGAACGAAUUACACUUUAUUAAAUUAAGAAACGGGACCGCUCGUUAACAGGUUGAUAAGUGGUGUUAUGUCACAAUAACACAAUUUGGGUGGUACCACGGAUAACUGACAUUCGUCCCAGUA